GGGUCGAACGCACCUCCGGUGCACCAGUUGUUCUGCCAAGGGCAUAGCUGGAUAGCCGCGUGCGGAUGUGAUAAACGCUGAAGGCAUCUAAGCGUGAAGCACACCUCAAGAUUAGAUAUCCAUGGGCUUCGGCCCGUGAGGUCACUUGUAGACUACAAGUUGAUAGGUCGUAGGUGUAAGCACGGUAACGUGUUCAGCUGAACGAUACUAAUAGACCGAUCGCUUGAACUGC
rnacentral:rRNA from 1 species